rnacentral:rRNA from 1 species
GUGAGUAUCCUAAGGCCAGCGAGCGAACUGUUGUUAAGGAACUCGGCAAACCAUCAGGUGGACGCAGAGAAUAGGCCCAAGCGACUGUUUACCAAAAACAUAGGUUUCUGCUAAGUCGCAAGACGAUGUAUAGGAGCUGACGCCUGCCCGGUGCUGGAAGGUUAAGGGGAUCUGUUAGAGCAAUCGAAG